CUCUUCCCAACCAGCACCACCUACCACUGGCACUGAGCCCUGGCACUCGGAGUUCUCCCAAGGGCUGAUCUGGGAGCCCUCUGCCCAUUCUUCAGACCUCUGGGAGAGGGGCAGGAAACGCUCCUCCCAUGGCCUGGGAAAGAGAAGGAGGCAGUUCCAGAGGCCUUGGGGCCACUGACUCCCUUUGGCCCCCCAGGGCCUCGAGUCUCCCAGGGUCCUGAGCUCCCACUGCUUCCCAGGGCUCCUAGAAGCCUUGGAGCUUCCCCACCCCCGACAGCUCCCUGGGGAGACCAGAGUUGGGCUGGCUGAGAUCAUAGAUUGCAAAAUGAGAGGCCUCUCCUGAAGAACUGGUUGUGCAUAAAGAGUGACAGAAUAACAGGAGGUGAGACCGUGCCCAUCCCAGCCCAAGAAACAAAUAAGGUGUGGAGGAUUUAUGAAGUUAGGCAAAGGGCAGGGGAGACCUCCUUUCUUCAGACCUGCACAGACCCAUCUGGAGGACGAUGGUCAGCUCUGAAAGCCACAUCCAGGAAGCCCACUGAGCAUCUGGAAGGUGUCCAGAGGGGGAAGAGAAGAGAAGGCUUUUCCAUAGGACCCAGAACAUACCAAGCACCAUGAUAAGUGCUUUACAAACAUUCACUUGUUUGAUCCUAACAACAGCCAUGGGAGAGGUGAAACCUGAGGCUGGGAGGAAAGCAUUUGUCCUAAGGUCACACAGCAGACUGAUGUCACAUAUGUUACCCAACUGAACCUCACAACAACCUAGUGAAGUACUGAGAAAUAAUGUGAAGCAAGUAUUUGUCUCCCCAUUGUCGAGCUCCCUUCAUUGGCGUCUUCCCCUGACAGACCCCUGGUCUCUGUGCUGGUGAACUCUGAGAGGUCUCAAUGGGCUGAAGAACAUUCAAAUACCAGUCCAGAGGCAAGACCACAUGACUGUGCUCCAAAACUCAAGAAAGGCUCAUCACCAAGGCUUGCCCAACAAGAGAUUAAGUGUUUUGACCACUGCUGCUCAGGACGUCACCUACUUAGAUAUAGAGGAUCCAUGUCACCUGCAGAAGAGUGGACCCCACAUUGAAAAAAAAA